AGGAAGGGGCGGACAGAAGGACGGAAGGAGGGAAUGAAAUGAAGGAGAGAUGCCAUCCUUUUUUCCACUUUUUUUUUUUUUUCAGAGGUUCCCUGCCAGGCUCACAGCCAAGGUGGCAUCUCAUCUUGGCUUGGCCACCGGCCUCGCCCCCUAGCGUCGAGCCGGGCAGCCUGCAGCUGGUGCUUAUCUCUUUAAAUGACAGCUGUGGCUCGGGUCCCAGUUCUAGUCUUGACGUCAGUGCCGCCUCCCCGGCUGCUAGGAGUAGUUAGCGCCACCGUCCGCGCUCGGGACUCGCAGAGCGCUUGCAAGCUGUUGGGGCGGCGAGUUUUCUUUGCUCCGACCCCUCCUCCCGCCCUCCCCAUGGGAAGCGGAGCGGCCGCCUAAGAGCCUCUUGCAAGUCUUUCGCUCACACUUCCCUGCCGUCGCCCCAAAGGAGCAGCCACUCCUCCUAGCUCCAUCACCGCCGCCGCUGCUCCCGCUGAGCUCCUCUCCCGCGCGCGCUUCGCUCCCCUGAUGGAGCCGGGGCGCCUCCGCAGCUGCCCGGAGCCCUGAACUGGGCAACCCCGGCCGGAGGAACGUGCCGCCCAGCCCGAGGGCGCACCAGGAGCACGCCAAGGCCGGGGGCGCCGGGGGUGCAGGGCGUGGGCUUUUGUGGGGAGAAAGUGCCACUCUCCCGGUUCACUUAACCAUCGGCGGGGUGGGACCAUGGCUUUGAAGGACACGGGCAGCGUCGGCAGCACCAUCCUGCCCAUUAGCGAGAUGGUUUCCUCGUCCAGCUCGUCUGCAGUCGCCGCCCCAGGGCCCUGCGCGCCCUCGCCUUUCCCCGAGGUGGUGGAGCUGAACGUGGGAGGCCAGGUCUAUGUGACCAAGCACUCGACGCUGCUCAGCGUCCCGGACAGCACUCUGGCCAGCAUGUUCUCGCCAUCCAGCCCCCGGGGAGGCGCGCGCCGCCGGGGAGAGCUGCCCAGGGACAGCCGGGCGCGCUUCUUCAUUGACCGGGACGGCUUCCUUUUCAGGUACGUGCUGGAUUACCUGCGGGACAAGCAGCUGGCGCUGCCAGAACACUUCCCCGAGAAGGAGCGGCUCCUGCGCGAGGCCGAGUACUUCCAGCUCGCCGACCUGGUCAAGCUGCUGUCGCCCAAGGUCACCAAGCAGAACUCGCUCAACGACGAGGGCUGCCAGAGCGACCUGGAGGACAACGUCUCGCAGGGCAGCAGUGAUGCGCUCUUGAUGCGUGGGGCGGCGGCCACCGCGCCCUCGGGCCUCGGAGCGCACGGUGGCAGCGGCGGCGGCGGCGCGCCUGACAAGCGCUCCGGCUUCCUCACCCUGGGCUAUCGCGGCUCCUACACCACGGUGCGCGACAACCAGGCGGACGCCAAGUUCCGGCGAGUGGCGCGCAUCAUGGUGUGCGGACGCAUAGCGCUGGCCAAGGAGGUCUUUGGUGACACGCUCAACGAGAGCCGCGACCCUGACCGGCCGCCCGAGAAGUACACGUCCCGCUUCUACCUCAAGUUCACGUACUUGGAGCAGGCGUUCGAUCGCCUGUCCGAGGCCGGCUUUCACAUGGUGGCGUGUAACUCCUCGGGCACCGCCGCCUUCGUCAACCAGUACCGCGACGACAAGAUCUGGAGCAGCUACACCGAGUACAUCUUCUUUCGUAAGUUCGCAGUCCGGGUAUUUCUUCCUUCUCCCCGCCCCCUGGCCGACCCUUGUCGGAUCGAAUCUGUCUGGAACCCGGACAGGCGGGGUCCUAGGCAGGAGCUGGUUAAUAAGCGCUCGGGGGCUCUCCCUGCAUGCCUCUGCCAUGCAGCAGACCCGAUUUCCGCUUUCUCCUUUUGCGAUCUCCCCUCUAGUCCCUCGGAAGCACGCAGUCCCCAUGCUGUCCUCUUAACUUUAUUCGCCGUUCCCUUUCCCCCCGCGCCCUGCACCUGGAGGCUAUGGGCUCCCUUCUACUGCAGAGGUCAGGCAGGGGAGGGAGCACUGGCUGGGCGCAUAGGCCCCCUUCUUUCUUGCUUCUGCGGGACUCCUGGGGGUCAACUUAUGUGGGUCUCGGUGUUGAGGAGGUUGUCAUGGAGGCAUCACCGCGCACCGCCAGGGUUACCUCUUCUUGGUGCCGGCCAAGGAGCGUACAAUUACCGGUGGUUUCAGAAGGGGGCAACCAGAGAAGUGAUGACUGUGCCUCCAGACUACUUCAGGGUGCCUGGGUGUGAGUGGCUGGUGGGAAAGAGGUCUCCAUCGACCCUGAGAAACCUCAGAUUUUCCCUGCACCACUCACUUCUCAUGUGUACAUUGCUCGGUGUAUUGAACAUCAGAGGGUGGAGGAAACCAAAAUUGUUUGGCUGUCUGAGUGUUGUUGUCAGGGUUGGAGAUUAG